AACGAACGCUGGCGGCAGGCCUAACACAUGCAAGUCGAGCGCGCCCUCCGGGAUGAUCGGCGGCCGGGGGUGUAACGCGUGGGAACGUGCCCUCUUCUACGGAAUAGCCUCGGGAAACUGAGAGUAAUACCGAAUACGCCCUAUGGGGGGAAGAUUUAUCGGAAAAGGAUCGGCCGGCGUGGGAUUAGGUAGUUGGUGUGGUUAUAGACUAACAAGCCGAGGAUUCAUAGCUGGGUAGAGAGGAUGAUCAGCGACACUGAGACUGAGACACGGCCCAGACUCCUACGGGAGGCAGCAGUGGGGAAUCGAGGAACGUGGGGGCAACGCUGAAGUAGCCAUGACGGGUGAGUGAUGAAGGCCUUAGGGUUGUAAAGCUCUUGCAGCUGUGAAGAUAAUGACGGUACCAGCAGAAGAAGCCCCGGCUAACUCCGUG
rnacentral:rRNA from 1 species